UACGGAGGGUGCAAACGUUGCUCGGAAUUAUUGGGCGUAAAGCGCACGUAGGCGGUCUAGCAAGUCGGGUGUGAAAGCCCUCAGCUUAACUGAGGAAGUGCAUUCGAAACUACUAGGCUUGAGUACUGAAGAGGACGACGGAAUUCCCGGUGUAGAGGUGAAAUUCGUAGAUAUCGGGAGGAACACCAGUGGCGAAGGCGGUCGUCUGGGCAGAUACUGACGCUGAGGUGCGAAAGCGUGGGGAGCGAACAGG
rnacentral:rRNA from 1 species